UGCUGGUUUGUGCUAACCAGUUAUUCACUGGAAACAUCUGCCAGGAUAAGGACAAGGUAAUUUCAUGCUAGUAUUCUUGGGAACAAGGGCUGCAAAUCAGUAGGCAUAAGUUCCCUUUAUGUCAGUUAGAAAGUACUGUAUUCUGCCGCUUAAGUAAUUAUUAUGUAUCAGAAGUUUUUGAAAAAUUGCUGCUUACCAAGGACUAGCCUGUUUUUGAGGCUGGCUAGAUUAGUUACGCUACAUUUGUGGGUACACUGUUGACUGUGCACAGAUUGAUUGAACGGUGUCUGUGGUGUGACAGGAGAGUUGAAUAAUCAA
rnacentral:lncRNA from 1 species